rnacentral:rRNA from 1 species
CUUUCCCGGAGCUUGCUCCACCGAAAGAAAAAGAGUGGCGAACGGGUGAGUAACACGUGGGUAACCUGCCCAUCAGAAGGGGAUAACACUUGGAAACAGGUGCUAAUACCGUAUAACACUAUUUUCCGCAUGGAAGAAAGUUGAAAGGCGCUUUUGCGUCACUGAUGGAUGGACCCGCGGUGCAUUAGCUAGUUGGUGAGGUAACGGCUCACCAAGGCAACGAUGCAUAGCCGACCUGAGAGGGUGAUCGGCCACACUGGGACUGAGACACGGCCCAGACUCCUACGGGAGGCAGCAGUAGGGAAUCUUCGGCAAUGGACGAAAGUCUGACCGAGCAACGCCGCGUGAGUGAAGAAGGUUUUCGGAUCGUAAAACUCUGUUGUUAGAGAAGAACAAGGAUGAGAGUAAAAUGUUCAUCCCUUGACGGUAUCUAACCAGAAAGCCACGGCUAACUACGUGCCAGCAGCCGCGGUAAUACGUAGGUGGCAAGCGUUGUCCGGAUUUAUUGGGCGUAAAGCGAGCGCAGGCGGUUUCUUAAGUCUGAUGUGAAAGCCCCCGGCUCAACCGGGGAGGGUCAUUGGAAACUGGGAGACUUGAGUGCAGAAGAGGAGAGUGGAAUUCCAUGUGUAGCGGUGAAAUGCGUAGAUAUAUGGAGGAACACCAGUGGCGAAGGCGGCUCUCUGGUCUGUAACUGACGCUGAGGCUCGAAAGCGUGGGGAGCGAACAGGAUUAGAUACCCUGGUAGUCCACGCCGUGAACGAUGAGUGCUAAG